rnacentral:tRNA from 1 species
GGAGAGAUGGCAGAGUGGUCUAUCGCGGCGGUCUUGAAAACCGCUGACCUUCACCGGUCCGGGGGUUCGAAUCCCUCUCUCUCCGCCA